CCGAGGUGUGUGGAAGUUGUGCAGUCGCUGCCGGGUCGCCCAGUGGCCAAGGAGGAUUCUGCAAGCUGUAUAGGUCGUUUGAGAACCACUUGAGGAACUCCUGCUACACUGUUCUGCUGACUAUAUUCCAGCUUUAAGAAAGCCUGGGAAGAGAUUAGGACACUGUCGCACACAGUGGGAAGACCACGUGAGGACACAGUGAGAAGAUGGACAUCUAUGUACAAGCCAAGGAGAGAGGCCUCAGAAGAAACCAACUCUACCAACUUCUGGCCCUCAGAAUGGCAAACCAAUUGCCGUACAGAGGUGUGGGGGCAAAACGCCAGCAGGAAGAACUUUAAAGAGAAGCCAGGUGAAGUGGAUUAAAAGAUAGCUGCAGGAAGGAAACCAUAAACAAGACGAAAAGACAACCCUCAGAAUGGGAGAAAAUAUCUGCAGAUGAAGCAACUGACAAAGGAUUAAUCUCCCAAAUAUACAAAUAGCUCAUGAAGCUCAAUAUCAAAAAAAACAAACAACCCAAUCCAAAAGUGGGCAGAAGACCUAAAUAGACA